UGACCGACUUGGGGUGAGGGAAGGGAGAGAGGAAAAACGACACACUGUGGAUGUGAUUUAAUCAAUAUAAGAGUGAUUUUAUUGGUUUUAAUGAUUUUAUUUAUACAAAAUAAAAAAUUCCACUAUAAUAUGUUAAAAGACAUUUUAUCCUUCAAAUGUCCCCAUGGUGCAUGGUGUUUUUACUCUGAGCAGUUUCAGUUCUGUCCAAAUCUUUGCACGACUAAUAAUCUGCACCUGUCUCCUUUGAAGAAGUAGGUUUUGGCUACAUUCCCCCACCAGACAGCUGUCUCGAUACUCCUAAAAUACACGGGCAAAGUUAGAUUGCAAUGGGACAAAGAAAAUAACUAAAUAUGAGUUGAAAAAAAUAAACACCAUGGGCUUUCAACUCAUUCAACUCAUCUGUGUUGUUGUUUUUCUUUCUUUUCAUUUAGGCUUUUUUUCCUGCUCAUGUAAUUUCAAGGGUUGGAAGAUGUCACCUUGUUUAUAGAAAAUGUGUGCAGCAGGAAAAUCUAUGCAGUGUUAUCUACAGUAUAAUACAAUAAACGGCAGGCUGAUGCUCUGAAGGCAACUCUAGUGAGACUUGUUGUGUUGAGUUUUAUUGAUGCUAUUGUUGCAUUUAAUUCAGUUUGAUCAUAAAUGCCUCAGGCGGAGCAAAAAAGGGCUGCUGUGCAGUAAGCUCGGCAUUCACAUGCACAAACCCACCAAUACAUACACACACAUACAGACAGUUAAGUCCCUAUGAGUGAAUAAAUAAAGCAUGAGGCACUCUGAUCCCACAGAGUGACAGAUGUCAUGUCUGUCUGGUGGGUGGAGGGACGGCUCCACUGGACCUGUGUAGCUGAGAUAUAAUAUACUGAGUGUGAACAUUCUCAAAACUGUAUUGUAUAUAGUUUAUUUUUUUUAUUGUGUAAAUUUAAUUUUUGUAAAACUAAGGUUCCACAUGUCACUGUUGAAGUGGGGCAUUAAUCAGUGUGACGCCACUUGUAAACAUGCUGCAUGUGUGUGGGUUCCCAGCCAGAGCUGCAUGGACUCCACACUGGUGAGGCACACUCUCUGUAGCUCCUCUCCCUGUAUUAAAUUACACGUUUAAAUUUGGUGUAUUUUUCUUCACUAAGUAUUAGUUCUUAUGGCUAAAGGCCCCCAAAGUGUUUUUGAUUACUUUGAACGAGGAAAAUAGUAAUUGGAACUGCCUUUUAUCUGUUACACCAUCCGUUUAUGUGUUCCUUACUUGUGCUAAACAGGGAUGAGCAGAGGCCUGCUGUUGCUGUGUGACACUGACUUUGCUGCUGCACUUUGUCUUUUAGAGCUCCAUGGACUCCACACUGGGAUGAGGAGAGACCUGCUGUUGCUGUGUGACACUGAUUUUGCUGCUGCACUUUGUCUUUUAGAAAUAAAUCCAGUUUCCAGCCAGUCUGUGUCUGUCGUCACAACGCAGUCAACCGUUUGAAAUCUGCUACACCUGCACUCGUUCUCCUACCAUACAGAAAGGAAAACAACCUCACUGUCGCCUGUUACAGUAAAAAACAGAUAACUACUGUAAAGCUUGCCCUGCCAUUGUGGAGGGUCUUGUUGCCAGACUCCUUUUGGGGGGGGGGGGGGGACUUUUAAUUCUUGUUCAUUAUUUGAUGUUCUAUUUUAUUCUUAGUUUAUUUGUUUGAUUUUUACAUUCCUUAGUAUCUUGUGGCCUAAUGCUUUGUUUCAAUUCCUGUUUGUUCCCAUUAGUAUUCUGCUUAUGGUUUAUUUUCUAAAAUCUCUCUUUCUGUCCUUUGUGUCCUUCUGUGUCGAGCUUAAGCGUAUUACGUACUUGUUGCUGUUUCUUGAGUAACUUCCUGUUGUAUUUUGAUAGUCUGUUGUAACUCAUGUAGUGCUAUUAGUUUUACCAUGUUAACCCCUCAGUGUGGUCCUAGUAUAAAUAGUUGUGUGUUUUCAUUUGUCCUUUCUUGUGUCGCCUGUCAACUGCAUGUCUGUUUCUUUAUGGGUUUAGUUGUGGUUUGGACUCACUGGCAUACAUACCAACACAAUACGACAUGCCCUUUCCAGUGUUCUUAUAGUGAUGGUAUGCAAUAAAAUAUCGUUUCAAUUAAC